UGGGGAAUUUUGCACAAUGGGGGAAACCCUGAUGCAGCGACGCCGCGUGAUUUAGAAGGUCUUCGGGUUGUAAAAAUCUUUUCUAUGGGAAGAAAAUGACAGUACCAUAGGAAUAAGGACCGGCUAAUUACGUGCCAGCAGCCGCGGUAAUACGUAAGGUCCGAGCGUUGUCCGGAAUCAUUGGGCGUAAAGGGUACGUAGGCGGGUAAGCAAGUUAGAAGUGAAAUCCUGUAGCUCAACUACAGUAAGCUUUUAAAACUGCUCAUCUUGAGAUAUGGAAGGGAAAGUGGAAUUCCUAGUGUUGCGGUGAAAUGCGCAGAUAUUAGGAGGAAUACCGGUGGCGAAGGCGACUUUCUGGCCAUAAUCUGACGCUGAGGUACGAAAGCGUGGGUAGCAAACAGG
rnacentral:rRNA from 1 species